rnacentral:rRNA from 1 species
GAUGAACGCUGGCGGCGUGCUUAACACAUGCAAGUCGAGCGAGUGAGUUCUUCGGAACGAUCUAGCGGCGGACGGGUGAGUAACACGUGGGCAACCUGCCUCAUAGAGGGGAAUAGCCUCCCGAAAGGGAGAUUAAUACCGCAUAAAAUUAUCGAGUGGCAUCACAUGAUAAUCAAAGGAGUAAUCCGAUAUGAGAUGGGCCCGCGGCGCAUUAGCUAGUUGGUGAGGUAACGGCUCACCAAGGCGACGAUGCGUAGCCGGCCUGAGAGGGGGAUCGGGCACAAUGGGGCUGGGACACAGCCCCGAAUCCUACGGGAGGCAGAAGUGGGGAAUAUUGCACAAUGGGGGAAACCCUGAUGCAGCAACGCCGCGUGAGUGAUGAAGGUCUUCGGAUUGUAAAGCUCUGUCUUUGGGGACGAUAAUGACGGUACCCAAGGAGGAAGCCACGGCUAACUACGUGCCAGCCGCCGCCGCAGUAA